rnacentral:rRNA from 1 species
UAAUGGGUCAGCGACUUAUAUUCUGUAGCAAGGUUAACCGUAUAGGGGAGCCGAAGGGAAACCGAGUCUUAACUGGGCGUUAAGUUGCAGGGUAUAGACCCGAAACCCGGUGAUCUAGCCAUGGGCAGGUUGAAGGUUGGGUAACACUAACUGGAGGACCGAACCGACUAAUGUUGAAAAAUUAGCGGAUGACUUGUGGCUGGGGGUGAAAGGCCAAUCAAACCGGGAGAUAGCUGGUUCUCCCCGAAAGCUAUUUAGGUAGCGCCUCGUGAAUUCAUCUUCGGGGGUAGAGCACUGUUUCGGCUAGGGGGUCAUCCCGACUUACCAACCCGAUGCAAACUGCGAAUACCGAAGAAUGUUAUCACGGGAGACACACGGCGGGUGCUAACGUCCGUCGUGAAGAGGGAAACAACCCAGACCGCCAGCUAAGGUCCCAAAGUCAUGGUUAAGUGGGAAACGAUGUGGGAAGGCACAGACAGCCAGGAUGUUGGCUUAGAAGCAGCCAUCAUUUAAAGAAAGCGUAAUAGCUCACUGGUCGAGUCGGCCUGCGCGGAAGAUGUAACGGGGCUAAACCAUGCACCGAAGCUGCGGCAGCGACACUAUGUGUUGUUGGGUAGGGGAGCGUUCUGUAAGCCGUUGAAGGUGUAUCGUGAGGU